rnacentral:rRNA from 1 species
GUCCACGCCGUAAACGAUGAUUGCUAGCCGUUGGGCAGCUUGCUGUUCAGUGGCGCAGCUAACGCAUUAAGCAAUCCGCCUGGGGAGUACGGCCGCAAGGUUGAAACUCAAAGGAAUUGACGGGGGCCCGCACAAGCGGUGGAGCAUGUGGUUUAAUUCGACGCAACGCGCAGAACCUUACCAGGGUUUGACAUCCUGCGACCGCCUCCUAAUAGGUGUUUUCCCGCAAGGGACGCAGAGACAGGUGCUGCAUGGCUGUCGU